AACUUCAAAUACUUUGGAAUGCUUAUCAAUGAUCUCUCACAGUUAAGCGUGCUUGGGCUAGAGUAGUACUGGGAUGGGUGACCUCUUGAGAAGUCCUAGUGGAGAUC
rnacentral:rRNA from 1 species